rnacentral:rRNA from 1 species
GACGAACGCUGGCGGCGUGCUUAACACAUGCAAGUCGAACGAAGUGGCGAACGGGUGAGUAAUACGUGGGUAACCUGCCCUCCUUUUUGGGAUAAGCCUUGGAAACGGGGUCUAAUACCGAAUAAAGGGGGAUGGGCUCGCGGCCUAUCAGCUUGUUGUGGGGGUGAUGGCCUACCAAGGCGGUGACGGGUAGCCGGCCUGAGAGGGUGAUCGGCCAAAUGUGGAUUGAGAUACGGCCCCGACUCCUACGGGAGGCAGCUGUGGGGGAUAUUGCAGAAGGCGCGACAGUCUGAAUCAGCGACGCCGCGUGGGGAAUGAAGUCUUUAGGGUUGUAAACCUCUAUCGCUAUUGAACGGGUAGGUGAAGAAGAAGCGACGGCUAACUACGUGCCAGCAGCCGCGGUAAUAC